GAUGAACGCUGGCGGCGUGCCUAAUACAUGCAAGUCGAGCGAACGGACGAGAAGCUUGCUUUUCUGAUGUUAGCGGCGGACGGGUGAGUAACACGUGGAUAACCUACCUAUAAGACUGGGAUAACUUCGGGAAACCGGAGCUACUACCGGAUAAUAUUUUGAACCGCAUGGUUCAAAAGUGAAAGACGGUCUUGCUGUCACUUAUAGAUGGAUCCGCGCUGCAUUAGCUAGUUGGUAAGGUAACGGCUUACCAAGGCAACGAUGCAUAGCCGACCUGAGAGGGUGAUCGGCCACACUGGAACUGAGACACGGUCCAGACUCCUACGGGAGGCAGCAGUAGGGAAUCUUCCGCAAUGGGCGAAAGCCUGACGCAGCAACGCCGCGUGAGUGAUGAAGGUCUUCGGAUCGUAAAGCUCUGUUAUUAGGGAAGAACAGAUGUGUAAGUAACUGUGCACAUCUUGACGGUACCUAAUCAGAAAGCCACGGCUAACUACGUG
rnacentral:rRNA from 1 species